AGAGUUUGAUCCUGGCUCAGGAUGAACGCUGGCGGCGUGCCUAACACAUGCAAGUCGAGCGAUCUCUUCGGAGAGAGCGGCGGACGGGUGAGUAACGCGUGGGUAACCUGCCCUGUACACACGGAUAACAUACCGAAAGGUAUGCUAAUACGGGAUAAUAUAUAAGAGUCGCAUGACUUUUAUAUCAAAGAUUUUUCGGUACAGGAUGGACCCGCGUCUGAUUAGCUUGUUGGCGGGGUAACGGCCCACCAAGGCGACGAUCAGUAGCCGACCUGAGAGGGUGAUCGGCCACAUUGGAACUGAGACACGGUCCAAACUCCUACGGGAGGCAGCAGUGGGGAAUAUUGCACAAUGGGCGCAAGCCUGAUGCAGCAACGCCGCGUGAGCGAUGAAGACCUUCGGGUCGUAAAGCUCUGUCCUCAAGGAAGAUAAUGACGGUACUUGAGGAGGAAGCCCCGGCUAACUACGUGCCAGCAGCCGCGGUAAUACGUAGGGGGCUAGCGUUAUCCGGAUUUAUUGGGCGUAAAGCGCGUCUAGGCGGUUUGGUAAGUCUGAUGUGAAAAUGCGGGGCUCAACUCCGUAUUGCGUUGGAAACUGCCAAACUAGAGUACUGGAGAGGUAGGCGGAACUACAAGUGUAGAGGUGAAAUUCGUAGAUAUUUGUAGGAAUGCCGAUGGGGAAGCCAGCCUACUGGACAGAUACUGACGCUAAAGCGCGAAAGCGUGGGUAGCAAACAGGAUUAGAUACCCUGGUAGUCCACGCCGUAAACGAUGAUUACUAGGUGUUGGGGGUCGAACCUCAGCGGCCAAGCUAACGCGAUAAGUAAUCCGCCUGGGGAGUACGUACGCAAGUAUGAAACUCAAAGGAAUUGACGGGGACCCGCACAAGCGGUGGAGCAUGUGGUUUAAUUCGACGCAACGCGAGGAACCUUACCAGCGUUUGACAUCCCAAGAAGUUAACAGAGAUGUUUUCGUGCCUCUUCGGAGGAACUUGGUGACAGGUGGUGCAUGGCUGUCGUCAGCUCGUGUCGUGAGAUGUUGGGUUAAGUCCCGCAACGAGCGCAACCCUUGUCUUUAGUUGCCAUCAUUUAGUUGGGCACUCUAGAGAGACUGCCAGGGAUAACCUGGAGGAAGGUGGGGAUGACGUCAAAUCAUCAUGCCCCUUAUGCCUAGGGCUACACACGUGCUACAAUGGGUGGUACAGAGGGCAGCCAAGCCGUGAGGUGGAGCAAAUCCCUUAAAGCCAUUCUCAGUUCGGAUUGUAGGCUGAAACUCGCCUACAUGAAGUUGGAGUUACUAGUAAUCGCAGAUCAGAAUGCUGCGGUGAAUGCGUUCCCGGGUCUUGUACACACCGCCCGUCA
rnacentral:rRNA from 1 species